GGCUCGUUGGUCUAGGGGUAUGAUUCUCGCUUUGGGUGUGAGAGGUUCCGGGUUCAAAUCCUGGACGAGCCC
rnacentral:tRNA from 1 species